rnacentral:rRNA from 1 species
UACGUAGGGGGCAAGCGUUGUCCGGAUUUAUUGGGCGUAAAGAGCGUGUAGGCAGCCUGAAAGGUCAGCUGUGAAAACUCGAGGCUCAACCUCGAGACGUCGGUUGAAACCAUCUGGCUAGAGUCCGGAAGAGGAGUGUGGAAUUCCCGGUGUAGCGGUGAAAUGCGCAGAUAUCGGGAAGAACACCCGUGGCGAAGGCGGCACUCUGGGACGGUACUGACGCUGGGACGCGAAAGCGUGGGGAGCGAACAGG